rnacentral:rRNA from 1 species
UGAUAAGAAUAGUUUAUAAAAAAGUGUUGUUGAAGUAUAAAUAAAAAAGUAGUGUAAGCGAAAUAUAAAGUUUACUAUAGGGAAUUAGUACUGUGAAGGAAUUAUUGAAAUAGGUGAAAAUAUUUCAUAAAAAAAGUACUUUUAAAUUGAGGUACCUUUUGUAUUAGUGGUUAUUAAAAUUAUAUUAUAAAAAUUUUUCUCGAAAAUAAAAGAGCUAAAUAAGUUUUAGAGUUUUUGUAUCAAAAAAAUUCUUAAGGUUUAUUUAGGUGUGAGAUUCUAAUCGCUUUUAUUAAUAUCUAGUAACUUCAGAAAUAAAUUUAGUUUAGAAUAAUAAGAAAUUUCUUUAUUUUUAAGUAGUUUUAAGUUUAUUUUUAAAUUUUAGGGGAUGAGCUCUAAAAUUAUAGUAAAAGGCGAAUUUUUUUUAAAUUUUUUAUAGGCUUAGAAUUAGCCAUUUGAUAGUGUUAUAAAAUAGAAUUUUAGUUUUAUGAUUUAAGUAGUCUUUUCUUUAUAUGAAGUUAAUUUGGUAAUUUUUUUAGAGGUGAAAAUAUGAUAGUAUAAGUAGAUAUUUAAGUAAAGAAACAGUUUUAAAUUUUUCUGUGAGUUUUUGAAAAAUAAUUUUGAUAGAAGAACUCGGCAAAUAUUAUCUCCGAAUGUUUAACAAAAACAUUUCCUCUUAGUUUAAGAGGUAAGGCCUGCUCACUGAAUAUUAAAGAGCCGCAGUAUCCUAACUGUGCUAAGGUAGCAUAAUCAUUAGUCUUUUAAUUGGAGACUGGUAUGAAUGGUUUAACGAGAGAUAGACUUUUUUUAUCAUAAAAAUUGAAUUUAAUUUUUUAGUGAAAAAGCUAAAAUUUUUCAGAAAGACGAGAAGACCCUAUAGAGUUUUAUAUUUUGAAAUAAUUUUUCUAAUUUGAUUUUUAUAGGUGAAUUAUUGAUUAGUAUUUUGUUGGGGCGACAUUAAGAUAAGAAAAACUCUUAAUUUUGAAAAUUUUUAUUAAAAGAUUUUUGAUCCUCUAUAAGAGAUCAAAAGAAAAAAUUACCUUAGGGAUAACAGCGUAAUCUUUUUUGAGAGUUCUAAUCGACAAGAAGGUUUGCGACCUCGAUGUUGGACUAAAAUUUAGGCAGGGUGCAGCAGUUCUGCUUUAAGGUCUGUUCGACCUAUAAUAUUUUACACGAUCUGAGUUCAGACCGGCGUGAGCCAGGUUGGUUUCUAUCUUCUGAAUAUGUACAAUUCAACUUAGUACGAAAGGAUUGGUUGAGAAUAAUUAUUAUAAUAAAUUGAGGAUUAUUAAUAUUUUAUAU